rnacentral:piRNA from 1 species
UUUGAUCAUCCGUUUUCCAGU